GUUGUCUGCACGGCUGGUCUCAAGUGGUAUCCUCACCCUGCUCUGAUUCACUGCGUCAAAGGCUGUGAGCCCUUCAUGGGAGACAAUUACUGUGAUGCCAUCAACAACCGAGCCUUCUGCAACUACGAUGGUGGGGACUGCUGUGCCUCUACGGUCAAGACCAAGAAGGUCACUCCCUUCCCUAUGUCCUGUGACCUACAAGGUGACUGUGCUUGUCGGGACCCUCAGGCCCAAGAACACAGCCGGAAAGACCUCCGGGGAUACAGCCAUGGCUAAGGAAGGACAAGGAGUUGACAAAGAAUUCCCAGCACCAGGACCCGCAUCUCUUUGGUAUUGAUUUCACAGUCGGCUGCUCAACGGAAUGGCCUCCCCACACCAGGGAUCCUUAGCACCCAACCGGUCUGCCUUUAAUUUCACCCAGGAAGGACUCAUAGUAGGGGCGCAUGAACCAAGUCUCGCCAUGUUGGAUGAUGGAAUGGAAUCCCAUCCCAAAGUCUUAGAUGGAUUGCAUAUACAAGUGUGCAGUCCAGAGCCUAAAAUUCUCAUCAUUUGUCACACAACCACAGCAAGAAACAUGUUCUGUAUUUAGGAGUGUGCCCAUAUGUGGUUAGUACACAUGCAUGCAUAUGCACCCAAACAUCUGCGUGAGG
rnacentral:lncRNA from 1 species